rnacentral:rRNA from 1 species
GAUAAGGUUAUGAAUAAGGGCGCACGGUGGAUGCCUUGGCACUAGGAGCCGAUGAAGGACGGACUAACACCGAUAUGCUUUGGGGAGCUGUACGUAAGCUUGCGAUCCAGAGAUUUGAAUGGGGAACCCAACAUCUUUAAUAGGAUGUUACGAUUGUGUGAAUACAUAGCACAUCUGAGGUAGACGCAGAGAACUGAAACAUCUAAGUACCUGCAGGAAGAGAAAGAAAAUCUGAUUCCUGAGUAGCGGCGAGCGAAACGGAAAAGCCCAAACCAGCAAGCUUUGCUUGUUGGGGCUGUAGGACUCAACAUGGUAGUUCUUUCAGAUAGUCGAAUGACUUGGAAAAGUCAGUCAAAGAGGGUAAAACCCUGCAGACGAAAAUGUGGAAGACACCUAGGAGGAUCCUGAGUACGGCGGAACACGAGAAAUCCGUCGGAAUCCGGGAGGACCAUCUCCUGGCCAAAUACUCCCUAGUGACCGAUAGUGAACCAGUACCGUGAGGGAAAGGUGAAAAGCACCCCGGAAGGGAGGAAUAGAACCUGAAACCGUGCGCCUACAAAAGUCAAAGCCCGUUAAUGGGUGAUGGCGUGCCUUUGUAGAAUGAACUGGCGAGUUACGAUUGCAUGCGAGGUUGUUGAAGAGACGGAGCCGCAGCGAAAGCGAGUCUGAAUAGGGCGUUUGAGUAUGUAGUCGUAGACCUGAAACCAUGGAUCUACCCAUGUCCAGGUUGAAGGUGCGGUAAAACGCACUGGAGGACUGAACCCACGUACGCUGAAAAGUGCGGGAUGAGGUGGGUAGCGGAGAAAUCCAAACGAACUUGAGAUAGCUGGUUCUUCCGAAAUAGCUUUAGGGCUAGCCCCGGAAUUGAGAAUGAUGGAGGUAGAGCACUGUUUGACUAGGGGCCCAUCCUGGCUACUGAAUCAGAUAAACCUGAAUGCCAUUCAUUCAUAUCCGGGAGCCGACUGUGAGUGAUAAGAUCCAUAGUCGAAAGGGAAACAGCCCAGACCACCAGCCAAGGUCCCAAAAUAUAUGUUAAGUGGAAAAGGAUGUGGGCUGCACAGAUAACCAGGAUGUUGGCUUGAAGCAGCCACCAUUUAAAGAGUGCGUAAUAGCUCACUAGUCGAGUGACCCUGCGCCGAAAAUGUACCGGGGCUAAACAUAUUACCGAAGCUGUGGAGUACACCUUUAGGUGUAUUGGUAGGAGAGCGUCUAUGGGCGAAGGCAGAUCGUGAGGACUGCUGGAGCGCCGAAGUGAGAAUGCUGGUAUGAGAAGCGAAAGACAGGUGAGAAUCCUGUCCACCGAAUGACUAAGGCUCUGGGAAGGCCUGUCCGCCCAGGGUUAGUCGGGACCUGCCGAGGCCGACAGGCGUAGGCGAUGGAUAACAGGCUGAUAUUCCUGUACCUGCUGUUUUGUUUGAGCAAUGGAGGGACGCAGGAGGCUGGGAAUGCAGACGAUCGGAAAUGUCUGUCCAAGCAGUAAGUCCAAGAGGAGCCAAAUGCUUUCUUGGGACAAGCCGUGAUGGGGAGGGAAAUAAUAGUACCGAAGUUCCUGAUGUCACACUGCCGAGAAAAGCUCUAGUGAGAAAACAGCGGCCCGUACCGCAAACCGACACAGGUAGUCGAGGAGAGAAUCCUAAGGUGAGCGAGAGAACUCUCGUUAAGGAACCGGCAAAAUGACCCUGCAACUCGGGAGAAGGUGCUGAUCAUACGAUCAGCCGCAGUGAAUAGGCCCGCUGACUGUUUAUCAAAACACAGGUCUCUGCAAAAUCGUAAGAUGAAGUAUAGGGCUGAUGCCCGGUGCUGAAGGUUAAGAGGAGGGCUUAGCGCAAGCGAAGGUACGAAUUGAAGCCCCAGUAAACGGCGGCCGUAACUAUAACGGUCCUAAGGUAGCGAAAUUCCUUGUCGGUAAGUUCCGACCCGCAAUGAAAGGCGUAAUGAUUUGGGCACUGUCUCAACGAGAGACUCGGGUGAAAUUUUAGUACCUGUGAAGAUGCAGGUUACCCGCGACAGGACGGAAAAGACCCUAUGGAGCUUUACUGUAGUUUGAUAUUGAGGUCUGUACCGCAUGUACAGGAUAGGUAGGAGCCGUAGAAAUCGGAACGCUAGUUCUGAUGGAGGCGCUGGUGGAUACUACCCUGCUAUGGGCUUACUCUAACCUGCACCCACUAAUCGUGGUGGAGACAGGCCGAUGGGCAGUUUGAUGGGGCGGCUCCUAAAAGGUAACGGAGGCGCCCAAAGGUUCCCCAGAAUGGCUGGAAAUCAUCUGAAGAGUGUAAAGGCAGAAGGGAGCUUGACUGCGAGACCAACAAGUCGAGCAGGGACGAAAGUCGGGCUUAGUGAUCCGGUGGUUCCGCAUGGAAGGGCCAUCGCUCAACGGAUAAAAGCUACCCUGGGGAUAACAGGCUUAUCUCCCCCAAGAGUCCACAUCGACGGGGAGGUUUGCACCCUGAUGUCGGCCUGUCGCAUCCUGGGCCUGUAGUCGGUCCUAAGGCUGGGCUGUUCGCCCAUUAAAGCGGCACGCGAGCUGGGUCUAGAACGUCGACAGUUCGGUCCCUAUCCGUCGCGGGCGUUGAAAUUUGAGGAGCUGUCCCAGUAAUGAGAGGACGGGAUGGACUUACCGCUGGUGUACCAGUUGUUCUGCUGGCGCAUUGCUGCAGCUAUGUAGGAAGGGAUAAACGCUGAAAGCAUCUAUGUAGCUCUCCACUUCAAGAUGAGAUUUCCAUCUCUUUAAGAAAGUAAGAUCCCUGAGAGAUGAUCAGGUAGAUAGGUCAGGAGAAGCAGUGAUGUAUGGAGCGGACUGAUACUAAUCGAUCGAGGACUUAAAUCCAUA